AGAGUUUGAUCAUGGCUCAGAACGUACGCUGGCGGCACGCCUAACACAUGCAAGUCGAACGAAGUAGCAAUACUUAGUGGCAGACGGGUGAGUAACAUGUAGGUAUCUGCCCUUUGGCCUGGAAUAACACGAGGAAACUUGUGCUAAUACCGGAUAAGUCUUUACGGAGAAAGCUUUAUGCACCAUUGGAUGAGCCUGCACUUGAUUAGUUUGUUGGUGGGGUAAUGGCCUACCAAGACUGUGAUCAAUAGCUGAUUUGAGAGGAUGAUCAGCCACAUUGGGACUGAGACACGGCCCAAACUCCUACGGGAGGCAGCAGUGGGGAAUCUUGCACAAUGGAGGAAACUCUGAUGCAGCGAUGCCGCGUGAGUGAAGAAGGCCCUUGGGUUGUAAAGCUCUUUCGUCGGGGAAGAAAAUGACUGUACCCGAAUAAGAAGGUCCGGCUAACUUCGUGCCAGCAGCCGCGGUAAUACGAAGGGACCUAGCGUAGUUCGGAAUUACUGGGCUUAAAGAGUUCGUAGGUGGUUGAAAAAGUUAGUGGUGAAAUCCCAGAGCUUAACUCUGGAACUGCCAUUAAAACUUUUCAGCUAGAGUAUGAUAGAGGAAAGCAGAAUUUCUAGUGUAGAGGUGAAAUUCGUAGAUAUUAGAAAGAAUACCAAUUGCGAAGGCAGCUUUCUGGAUCAUUACUGACACUGAGGAACGAAAGCAUGGGUAGCGAAGAGGAUUAGAUACCCUCGUAGUCCAUGCCGUAAACGAUGUGUGUUAGACGUUGGAAAUUUAUUUUCAGUGUCGCAGGGAAACCGAUAAACACACCGCCUGGGGAGUACGACCGCAAGGUUAAAACUCAAAUGAAUUGACGGGGACCCGCACAAGUAGUGGAGCAUGUGGUUUAAUUCGAAGAUACGCGCAGAACCUUACCAACACUUGACAUGUUCGUCGCGACUCUAAGAGAUUAGAGUCUUCGGUUCGGCCGGACGAAACACAGGUGCUGCAUGGCUGUCGUCAGCUCGUGUCGUGAGAUGUUGGGUUAAGUCCCGCAACGAGCGCAACCCUCACUUUUAGUUGCCAUCAUUAAGUUGGGCACUCUGAAAGAACUGCCAGUGAUAAGCUGGAGGAAGGUGGGGAUGACGUCAAGUCCUCAUGGCCCUUACGUGUUGGGCUACACACGUGCUACAAUGGUAUCUACAACAGGAAGCAAGACUGCGAAGUUAAGCAAAUCCCUAAAAGAUACCUCAGUUCGGAUUGCACUCUGCAACUCGAGUGCAUGAAGCUGGAAUUACUAGUAAUCGUGGAUCAGCGUGCCACGGUGAAUGCGUUCCCGGGUCUUGUACACACCGCCCGUCACACCAUGGGAGUUGGUUCUACCUUAAGGCAAGGUUUCAAACCCUUGACCACGGUAUAGUCAGCGACUGGGGUGAAGUCGUAACAAGGUA
rnacentral:rRNA from 1 species